GAAAACUGAGCUCCUCUGAGCAGUCUUUGGAGAGGGAGAAGAAACUGAAGAUGGAGUGGAGGCUCAAUGGGGGAUGCUACUCGGCCAGGGACAAAGGAGGGGCAAGGCCAAGUGUCAGACUUCUGAGAGGAUGAAUGGGAAGGAAGGACUAAGAACCAUUCAAAGGAUACUAUUCUAAGAGCUCAAAUCUCUGAUGCUCACCUGGACCUUUGCAUUUGUCAGAAAGACAUGUAUUCAAAUUGACUACUACUUAACAAAGCAAGUUAUUUAAUCCGAGACUGUUUUCUCAUCUGGAACAAGGGGAUCUUCCCACCAGAGGUGUGAAGAUUAAACGAAGUGAUGUAUUCUAAAGAACCUGAUACAUAGUACUCUCUAAAUAUUAGUUCCCUUUAAGUUUUCAAUCACAGUCUUAUUCUGCAAUAGGCCUGUGGUCAGAGCAUUGAUCCUUCCUACUUAGGGUUUCUAGUCUCUCGUACUGAGAAUUGAUAAGGCAGCCACAGCAUGAAGAAAUUCCUAUUUGGGACCCAAAGCAUAAGGUCAGUGACUAUUUAGGGUUGGUGAGAUAUGUGAAAAUCUUUCUUUAGGUUUCCCAAAUGAAUGACAUCUUGCCUGGAUAAUUUUUUCCAUAAAGGGAACUGCAGAUGUUUCAUUUCCCUGGGGAGUUUAUGGUCUCAAUUGCAGCUGCAUCUGAAAUCAGUAUUUUGAAUAUUAUCUGGCCUUUCUUCCAGAUGUUAUAAGAUUUCUUCUUCACUAAAGUUUGAAAAUGUUGUUAAGUAUUGUCUUGAGAUUUUUCUCUAGAUGUUAACAUCCGUGUAUAGUCUAAGCCUCUGAUCAAUUCUGGAAAC